rnacentral:tRNA from 1 species
GUCCCCGUAGCGCAGCGGAUAGCACGCUGGACUUCUUAUCCAGAGGCCGCGGGUUCGAAUCCCGCCGGGGAUG